rnacentral:rRNA from 1 species
AGAGUUUGAUCCUGGCUCAGAAUGAACGCUGGCGGCGUGCCUAACACAUGCAAGUCGAACGAGAAAGCGGACUUCGGUCCGUUAGUAAAGUGGCAGACGGGUGAGUAACACGUGGGUAACCUGCCCGAAGGUGGGGGAUAACCCUCCGAAAGGAGGGCUAAUACCGCAUAACAUCACGAGCUCUUCGGGGCUUGUGAUCAAAGCUAGCCUCUAUUUAUAUGCUAGCGCCAACGGAGGGGCCCGCGCCCCAUUAGCUAGAUGGUGAGGUAACGGCUCACCAUGGCUACGAUGGGUAGCCGGCCUGAGAGGGUGAUCGGCCACACUGGAACUGAGACACGGUCCAGACUCCUACGGGAGGCAGCAGUGAGGAAUUUUGCGCAAUGGGCGAAAGCCUGACGCAGCGACGCCGCGUGGAGGAGGAAGGCCUUCGGGUCGUAAACUCCUGUCAAGGGGGACGAACGCGGGGCGGAUGAAUAAGCCGCUUCGUUGACGUACCUCUGAAGAAGCCCCGCUAACU